UUUAAAUAGAUGACACUGAAGAAGCAGCUGAUCUUCUUUCAGCAGACAGAAACUUCAGGCUAAAGCGAAAAUCUUCGAAGUCAAAGCAAGCACCGGAACCACCACCAACAAAUACUCCAAAGAAGAAUGUUGAAACAAAAUUACCUGAGCAAGAACAGAAAACUGCUAAAGAUCGGAAAAUACCUCCACCACGACCUUCAAAGGGGCCUGCAAAUGAUUAAUGGUUAGAUAUUAAUAGAGAUAUUGAUGUCUUCAUAAGGUUCAAAAGGUUCAGGUGAAAAAGUUCCAUGAGAACCUGAUUCAGAAGUUUAAAAGACAGAACAUGAAAGAAACACAAAAUAUAUGUGAAGUAUUUUGCAUAUUAUUUUCAUGGAAAUUGAUUUGCUCAUUUUGUAUUUAUAUUAU